rnacentral:rRNA from 1 species
GAUGAACGCUGGCGGCGUGCCUAACACAUGCAAGUCGAACGGAAAGACGAGGAGCUUGUGCCUUUGAGGUUAGCGACGGGCGGGUGAGUGACGCGUGGAUAGCAAACUUCUAUGACGGGGAUAACUACGGAAAACAGGAGAUAAUACCACAGAAUAUAUUCAACCGCAGGGAGCAAUGGAGCUUGACGGCUUUGCUGUCUGUUAGAGACGGUUCCGCGCCGCAUUAGCUGGUUGGUAAGGUACCGGCUUACCAAGGAAACGAUCCGUAGCCGAGCUGAGAGGAUGAUCGGCCACACUGGAACUGAGACACGGUCCAGACUCCUACGGGAGGCCGCAGUAGGGAAUCUUCGGCAAUGGGCGAAAGCAUGACGCAGCAACGCCGCGUGGGUGAAGAAGGCCUUCGGGUCGUAAAGCCCUGUUAUUGGGGAAGAACAGCUGUGUGAGUAACCGUGGACGUCUUGACGGUACCUAAUGAAUAAGCCCCGGCUAACUACGUG